rnacentral:rRNA from 1 species
UCUGGUUGAUUCUGCCAGUAGUCAUAUGCUUGUCUCAAAGAUUAAGCCAUGCAUGUCUAAGUAUAAGCACUUUAUACCGUGAAACUGCGAAUGGCUCAUUAAAUCAGUUAUCGUUUAUUUGAUAGUACCUUACUACAUGGAUACCUGUGGUAAUUCUAGAGCUAAUACAUGCUGAAAACCUCGACUUCGGAAGGGGUGUAUUUAUUAGAUAAAAAACCAAUGCCCUUCGGGGCUCCUUGGUGAAUCAUAAUAACUUAACGAAUCGCAUGGCCUUGCGCCGGCGAUGGUUCAUUCAAAUUUCUGCCCUAUCAACUUUCGAUGGUAGGAUAGUGGCCUACCAUGGUGGCAACGGGUAACGGGGAAUUAGGGUUCGAUUCCGGAGAGGGAGCCUGAGAAACGGCUACCACAUCCAAGGAAGGCAGCAGGCGCGCAAAUUACCCAAUCCCGACACGGGGAGGUAGUGACAAUAAAUACUGAUACGGGGCUCUUUUGGGUCUCGUAAUUGGAAUGAGUACAAUUUAAAUCCCUUAACGAGGAACAAUUGGAGGGCAAGUCUGGUGCCAGCAGCCGCGGUAAUUCCAGCUCCAAUAGCGUAUAUUAAAGUUGUUGCAGUUAAAAAGCUCGUAGUUGAACCUUGGGUCUGGCUGGCCGGUCCGCCUCACCGCGAGUACUGGUCCGGCUGGACCUUUCCUUCUGGGGAAUCCCAUGGCCUUCACUGGCUGUGGGGGGAACCAGGACUUUUACUGUGAAAAAAUUAGAGUGUUCAAAGCAGGCCUUUGCUCGAAUACAUUAGCAUGGAAUAAUAGAAUAGGACGUGUGGUUCUAUUUUGUUGGUUUCUAGGACCGCCGUAAUGAUUAAUAGGGAUAGUCGGGGGCGUCAGUAUUCAGCUGUCAGAGGUGAAAUUCUUGGAUUUGCUGAAGACUAACUACUGCGAAAGCAUUCGCCAAGGAUGUUUUCAUUAAUCAGGGAACGAAAGUUAGGGGAUCGAAGACGAUCAGAUACCGUCGUAGUCUUAACCAUAAACUAUGCCGACUAGGGAUCGGACGGUGUUUCUAUUAUGACCCGUUCGGCACCUUACGAGAAAUCAAAGUUUUUGGGUUCUGGGGGAGUAUGGUCCGCAAGGCUGAAACUUAAAGAAAUUGACGGAAGGCACCACCAGGCGUGGAGCCUGCGGCUUAAUUUUGACUCAACACGGGGAAACUCACCAGGUCCAGAC